rnacentral:rRNA from 1 species
GACGAACGCUGGCGGCGUGCUUAACACAUGCAAGUCGAACGGACAGGCCCUGCUUUUGUUGGUUUCUCGAUUGGCGAACGGGUGAGUAUCACGUGAGUAACCUCCCCUUGUCUUUGGGAUAUCUUCACGAAACUGGGGCUAAUAUCGCAUAUGAUCUCCUGCUGCAUGUUGUUGGUUGGAAAGUUUCGGCGGUUGGGGAUGUACUCGCGGCUUAUCAGCUUGUUUGUGUGGUAGUGGCUUACCAAGGCUUUGACGGGUAGCCGGCCUGAGAGGGGGAACGGGCACAUUGGGACUGAGAGAGGGACCAGAAGGCUACGGGAGGCAGCAGGGGGGAACAUUGCAGAAUGGGCGGAAGCGUGAGGCAGAAACGCCGCGUGCGGGAUGAAGGCCUUCGGGUUGUAAACAGAUGUCGACUGUGACGAAGAGUGAGUGACGGUAAUGGGUAAAGAAGCACCGGCUAACUACGUG